rnacentral:rRNA from 1 species
GACGAACGCUGGCGGCGUGCCUAAUACAUGCAAGUAGAACGCUGAGGUUUGGUGUUUACACUAGACUGAUGAGUUGCGAACGGGUGAGUAACGCGUAGGUAACCUGCCUCAUAGCGGGGGAUAACUAUUGGAAACGAUAGCUAAUACCGCAUAAGAGUAAUUAACACAUGUUAGUUAUUUAAAAGGAGCAAUUGCUUCACUGUGAGAUGGACCUGCGUUGUAUUAGCUAGUUGGUGAGGUAAAGGCUCACCAAGGCGACGAUACAUAGCCGACCUGAGAGGGUGAUCGGCCACACUGGGACUGAGACACGGCCCAGACUCCUACGGGAGGCAGCAGUAGGGAAUCUUCGGCAAUGGACGGAAGUCUGACCGAGCAACGCCGCGUGAGUGAAGAAGGUUUUCGGAUCGUAAAGCUCUGUUGUUAGAGAAGAACGUUGGUAGGAGUGGAAAAUCUACCAAGUGACGGUAACUAACCAGAAAGGGACGGCUAACUACGUGCCAGCAGCCGCGGUAAUACGUAGGUCCCGAGCGUUGUCCGGAUUUAUUGGGCGUAAAGCGAGCGCAGGCGGUUCUUUAAGUCUGAAGUUAAAGGCAGUGGCUUAACCAUUGUACGCUUUGGAAACUGGAGGACUUGAGUGCAGAAGGGGAGAGUGGAAUUC